GUGUGUAUUUUCUUCACUUAUAGCACAUCUCAAUUCCAUGCAACAUUCAAGUGCUCAAUAGUCACGUGUGGCUAGUGAUUACAGCAUUGGAAAAAGACAGAUACGGUUGAGGAAACUUAAAAAAAUGUAGCAAAUGUAGUUGUAGAGACGUGCUCAAGAUCACUCAAUUAUCAUAGCUAGGACGUGAGUCUCCAGCGACCUUCCAAUUGCCUGGUUGAACCAAAGCCCUGGUUCAUUCUGCUGCGCAUUAAAAGCAGGCUUUACUCCCCUCCAAACAGUAGAAUCGCAGUUAAACUUAGUCAAACAAACUUAAUGUAUCCAAUACAAAACUCAUCUUUCUAACCCUAACACCUCCUCUUCCUCUCUAUUUUCUAUUUCAGUUGAUGGUACCAUUAUGUUUCUGCUCACUCAAAUUAUUAUUAUUUUAUCCAUAAACGAGCACUUUAUCUAGAAGAUCAUUUAAAUUCUAAAUGAUCUUCAAAAACGCACUUUACUCUCCACCCUAACUAGCUGAAUCAUCUCCCACAUGGGUCACUAUGAGAGCCUUCUGAUUUGUUCCCUUGCCUCAG
rnacentral:lncRNA from 10 species